GACGUAGGGCGCGAGCGUUGUCCGGAUUUAUUGGGCGUAAAGAGCGUGUAGGCGGCCAGGUAGGUCUGCUGUGAAAACUCGAGGCUCAACCUCGAGACGUCGGCGGAAACCAUCUGGCUAGAGUCCGGAAGAGGAGAGUGGAAUUCCUGGUGUAGCGGUGAAAUGCGCAGAUAUCAGGAAGAACACCCGUGGCGAAGGCGGCUCUCUAGGACGGUACUGACGCUGAGACGCGAAAGCGUGGGGAGCGAACAGG
rnacentral:rRNA from 1 species